AAUAAGAGGUGCGCACCGCCGGCGGUGCACGGCUUCUUCCCAUCGCAAGCUCACCCAUCAGUGUAGACCAGAUCGAGAGCUAUUACGCGGUUUGUCCGGACGACCUCGGGAUGAGCACCCCAGAUAAAAAGGCAUUCCCAUACAAGAUAAUUCCUUUGGAUAGCGAAACACAAAAGGCUAUCGCGCGAGAUUUCGCCGGCUAUCCCAAUGGACUGGCUUCAGUUAACCACUGGGGCUUCAAGCUGUCUGCCACGUCCAGUCCGAAAGAAAUAGAAAACCUCUACAACUACCCAAGGAAGGCCGGGGAUGUCUGGGUAGUAACGCCUCCGAAGUGUGGCACAACCUGGACCCAAGAGAUGGUGUGGCUCAUCGCCAACGACUUAGAUUACGAUGGGGCCAAGACGACCCUGUCUGAGAGGUGGGAUUUUCUUAGGACUGGUGCGUUGACGGACGGAGAAAAAUAUCCUGAUCUGAAGACUACUCGGAGAUCAGAUGCCGCCUGCCAACAGUCAAGCGACAGCUCCCACUGCGCCCAGCCACGCUUCGUCAAAACGCACUGGCCUCUGUCCAUGAUCCAUCCGC
rnacentral:misc_RNA from 1 species